UGAACCUUUAAGAAUAGUCCUGUGAGGCUAAAAAGGAAACGGAUUUAUACUUGGAUAUUCUUCUGAGUGUACCCAAAUCCCUUUUUUCCUCACGGAGAAAAGGGAUUUUUUU
rfam:Virgibacillus sp. LM2416 chromosome, complete genome.